AGGUCAGGUCGCCGGACCGGUGGGCGUCGCCCGCCUCGUCCGUGGGAUCGGAGAGAUCGGAGGGAUCGUUUCCCUCUCCGGCCUG
rnacentral:tRNA from 1 species